rfam:Penicillium camemberti str. FM013
NNNNNCGACCAUAGGGUGUGGAAAACAGGGCUUCCCGUCCGCUCAGCCGUACUUAAGCCACACGCCGGUGAGUUAGUAGUUGGGUGGGUGACCACCAGCGAAUCCUCACUGUUGUAUGUU